GGAUGUGGCUCAGUGAUAGAGUGCUUGCUUAGCAUGCACAAAUUUCUGGGUUCAAUCCCCAGGACCA
rnacentral:tRNA from 1 species